GCCCGCCUAGCUCAAUCGGAUAGAGCGUCAGACUCUUAUCUAAUAGGCGGAAUCUGAAGGCUGGGGGUUCGACCCCCCCGGUGGGCU
rnacentral:tRNA from 1 species